rnacentral:rRNA from 1 species
CGGCAUGCCUUACACAUGCAAAGUCGAACGGCAGCAUGGAAGAGCUUGCUCUUCUGAUGGCGAGUGGCGAACGGGUGAGUAAAGCAUCGGAACGUACCGUGUAGUGGGGGAUAACGUAGCGAAAGUUACGCUAAUACCGCAUACGCACUGAGGUGGAAAGCAGGGGAUCGCAAGACCUUGCGCUAUACGAGCGGCCGAUGUCAGAUUAGCUAGUUGGUAGGGUAAAGGCCUACCAAGGCGACGAUCUGUAGCGGGUCUGAGAGGAUGAUCCGCCACACUGGGACUGAGACACGGCCCAGACUCCUACGGGAGGCAGCAGUGGGGAAUUUUGGACAAUGGGCGAAAGCCUGAUCCAGCCAUGCCGCGUGAGUGAAGAAGGCCUUCGGGUUGUAAAGCUCUUUCGGCUGGGAAGAAAUCGCACAGGCUAAUACUCUGUGUGGAUGACGGUACCAGCACAAGAAGCACCGGCUAACUACGUG